rnacentral:misc_RNA from 1 species
UAAAAGGCCACAUUAUUGACUGGUAACAGAAAGUACCCUCUGUUCAUCACUUCACAUUACAAAGCAUCUAAACUUGUAGUAAACUCUAAAAGGCCACCUCAAUAAUAAGUUAAAUUGACUAGUAACAGUACUUGCAAACAUAUAAUGCAGCAAUGGCUGCAACGAUUGAUCCUAUUAUCAUCAGAAAGAUGUGUAUCUUAGUCUACUACGGAUCAAUGUUCAUAGAAUAUAGACAUUAAAGAAGCAAAAGAACCUUUUUUUUUUAAUAACUCGGCAACCAUGAUUGACAACUCUGAAACAACUUUUUGCGGAAGUUCAGAGAUUACCAACCUAGAACUAGUGUUAGAACACGACUUGUGAUGCUUCAUUGGAGGGGAAAAAAAUAGCGAAGCAAAUCAACCAACAAGACAGCUUCUUGUGGGCUUUGGCCAACCUUCCAAACUCUGAAGCUAGGCCCGAAGUAGUAACCAGCAUCACUCCAGAAUUUCAACAAUGUCAAAGAAAAAGGACCCUGUGUGAUACCAUGAGGAUCCAUGUAGUUCCAAAUUGCAACAUCACGGUACAUCACAUCAGUAGACUGAUUUCCAUAUCUUUGGUCCUCAACAUCUAGAUCAUCAUCACUCAAUUCAAUUACCUCAGUUUGAGUUGCCUGGACCUGUACUUGAUGUGUGACGACAUCUUCUCCAGAGGCCACGACCUGCAUUUCUUCACCUCUUUCAACUCUUGCAGAAAUGGUAGAAUCUCUUUGUUCUUGAAUCAUGUCUGCUUGUUGAUCAUUUCCAUUAGCAAUGGCUGCAUCUCCACUUACAAACCUCCUAUCGGAUGGGACCAUUAUAUCUCCAUUUUCAUCAGCAGUUAAUGCAUCUCCAUUUACGAAAAUCCUAUUAGAUGGGAUCAUGGCAUCUCCUGCACAAGAAAUGUCAGUAGCUCCAUUAGCAGUUGACUUUGGUGAACAACCAUUUUCUCUUUCUUGCUCCACUAAUUUUCUUCUAGGGCAUCAACAGUUUUAACUUCAGGCUCUAAUUCCUCAGCUACAACUUGUGGCAUCACGGAAAAGAGUCUAUCCUGUUCUUUUUUUGUGUGUAGCAGCUGCUUUCUCUCCAGAAACUCAAACAGUUGUUUGCGCCAUCCCUUUUCAUUGGCAUGAUCAAUGCGCUUUUGUAACAACACAACUUCUCUAUCAAUCCAAUGCUUAGUGAUAUCCUUGUGCAGAUUUUGCGCUUUUGACUCAAGCUCCAAA